CAUCAUUUGCUUAAACAAAAAAUAAUGGCCGAGGAUGCAACAAAAAAAUCUCUCUAACCAUUGCUGUCGAGAAAGCAAAUAGUAGCCACCCUUAUAAGAAUGACUACAGGUAGAUCAUUCAUGACACCACAAAAUCCACGAACUGUAUUAUUGAUCAAGUAUAACUUCCAAUGCACAAGGCUAAAAAAACAGAUACAAAACCGAGCGCCCCAUUCCUAAAACAUACAAAAUAAAGCUGACCUUAUUGAUUUAUUUUCCUCGUACAACAAAAUCCAUUAUCUACAAGCUGGGUAAAGCCCAAAUCUUACACUCUAACGUCCAAAGUGUUCAACAAACAUUGGCAAUUUGGCAUCAUACAUUUUCUCCCCGAGGCACCUGACAGCCACCCUAUUCUCCACCUCCACUCGCUAGAAAUCCACGAACCGAGUAUACUUCAUCUUAAAAUUUUAAUCUGCCAGAAGCAGUAACAGCAAGAACAAGCCCCACCAUAUGUUUAGUCUAUUGCUUCAACCUUUUGUCGAGCCAGGUACUUUUCUCUCCGCUCUUUCCAUUCAUCUAUUACAAGACCUUCCCCAACAACACGAGGCCCAGUGUCAGGUGGAGGUUUCUUACGAACUUGAAGAGCAGCCUCAGCUUCAGCCAACUGAAGCUUCAGUUUUUCCAAUGCCUUCAAAGAAAAAAGUCGUUAUUGGAAAUGUAUUGUUCAAACUUCAAAUUAUCAAAAAUUGAAAACAUAUAUAGAUCUACUUACAGGACUGGGAUGUUCCACAUCCACAAAUACAGCCCGCAAUAUUCGCUCAACUGUUACUUGAUCCUUCUGUUCAUCAAACUGAAAGGGAAACAGCCACUUCAGGUUAAUCUAAUAAUAAUACAAAAAAUUUUGAACAGAAGUACAACUCCCAAAAACACAAAAGAGAAACUUGAAUAGCAUGUAAUUAAUUGAGUGUCCAAAAAAAUGAGAGAGAAGAAAAUGAAACCAGAGUAGAAUGACAAUAUUUCAGUGGUCCAAGGCAGAUCCAUGUAGAAAUUUUUAGAUCUGCCUAGUUAUAAUAACAUUGACAAUUGCCUUAACAGUUCAUUAAUCCCAAUUGCCCGCUAUUUGUUGAUCCUGAAAAGCUUAAGCAGUUAGGAAAUGGCCGACAAUAUAAAUGAUGCACCAAGACUCUUCUUUUUGCCCUCUUUCCAUUCAGAAAACAAAAAAACAAGAGUCCAACUCAAAAGAUUAAAGUAGAGCUAUAACCUAGCUAGAAACAAGGGACCAGCAAAUGUUUCUAACCAAAAGAAAGGGAAAUAUAAGCAGAAUCCAGAACAUAAACAAACCAGCCUCUGAUACCACGUUGAUGUCAAAUUACAAUUUCCAAAAGCUUAAGCUGCGAGAAAAAGGGCUAACAAAGAAUAUUGAUCACUACGAAUCAACAAUAACUAGAUAACACAUUUUUCCCUUUGUACAAGGAAAUUAAAAUAAAUAAAGGGGACAAAAAUACUGAACAUGGUUCUAUAGCUAGACUACAAAAAGCUUCUUGACAAAUUACCCAUUUUUCAAUAUGCUUACACUUGGGGUUCUAUGAUAACCUAUAGGAUGCAGCUAUUUGUGAUUCUGAAUCAUAGUGACAAACAUUAUAAUCCAAGGAACUUGAGCAGCAUGCGUGGAACUUGAGCAGCAUGCGUGUAACAUGCUAGUCAAAUAGUAAGAAAAUCCUACUUCUUGAAAAGGAUACUCUGUAACUACAAUGUUCACAGGGAAGACCCAUUAUGUCUACAAAAUUACAGAGAAAGCGUAAGUUGAGAUGGCGGAAUAUUAUUUGCUCACACUCAUUAAGCAUCUUAAUGUGGCGAUGAAAAACUAGGAAGUGAAAUUGCAAUUCAAUCUCUUUGAAUUUAGAUAGUCAGAGAGACAUUUUCCAAAUAGGAAUACUUUCUCCAUGAAAGAGCUCUUCCAAGUGGCAUCAAGAUCUUAAACUCUAUACUUUAUUACUGUUAGUCUUCUAAUUAUAUAUAGCAAAAGCUUCGGCACACCACACAUGAAUAAAUUAUCUUACAACCAACACCGAUAAUAUGAUAAUAUGUAUCGUACCCUAACCUAAUCAAAUGCUUUUAGAUUUUCCAUUUCAAUUUAUUUCAAACAAUCAAAUAAGCCAACCUUUGUCGGUAACUAUCAUAUAUAUCAGCGAUGCUGAACAUUUUAAAACCAUACAUAUAUUAUAUAUAUAUAAGAAAGCAGAUAUGAUGAGACUCACCAACUCAGGUGCAUAUUCUAUUCCUCCUUUAACCUUCAAACUCAUGAUCUUAAACUUAGCCUUCCUCUUCUGGUCUAUUACUUUCUCAUUGUUCUCUGGCUGCUCGACAAACUUGAACACUGCCCAAUUCAAAAUAAAAAAGAGAUGUAAUAUAAAUUCCACACUGAAUAUAAACACGAGAUUAAGAGUUACAUAUGCGCCACCUGAAUAAGAAGCCAAGUUCCCUACAAAUAAAAUAUGAAAAGUUCCAGAGGGAAAAAAGAAUGGGUAUGUUACCAGUUGCAAUAAGGCUCUCUCCUGGAGCAAGGAUGCCACCUGGAGGACGCAUGAAACAACUCUUCGGUGCAGUUGUUUGAAACUGGAAUACGAUAAAGAAACAAGUAAGAAAUCAAUGUGGUUAUGCAAACGUCCAUAAUAUGAACAAAUGUACAUUCAGGAGUUUAAAUAUUUCAUGAGACAUGAACAAGUCUAUUAUGCUCUACAUUAUAUUUGAAACAAACCAUCAUCAAGAGCCAAGACAUCAUAUUAUAGCAAAGGAAAAAAAUUGAAAAAGAAAAUGGAGAAAAAGAACAGGAGUGUUGACCGCUAAGAAAAAGUUAAAAAGAACAAAAACUGAGUGGGGAAUGGGAACUCAUUUCCAAGGUCACCAAGCCAAAGAAAAUAAAAAUGGGAAAACAAAAGAAAAGACCUAAUUAAUUAAUUUCAUUUUUUACCCAAUUAUUAGAUAUAAAAAGACACACCCUCAAAAACUAUAUAUGUAUAAAAAGGCCCCUCCACCAUACACAUUAUUUACAGCAUCCAUAAUCAGAUAAGAACAAAAUGAUGUAAUGUGAAUUAUGUAAUGCAACACACAAUGGCUUAUCUUGCCUUAGCAAAAACUGUAUAAGUAAAUAUAAUUAUUCCACUAUAAGACGUACCUUGAAAGCUACAUGA
rnacentral:misc_RNA from 1 species